GUUUUUCUCUCUAAACUCCCCUUUUUGCCCCCUCAUUGUGUCUGGCACCUUCAGCAGAGUAGCAUAACACCGCAGCAUCAACAGAAUGACCAUCUGAAACGCUUUCAGACCUUCAAAGGUUCAAUAAAUAAUUCUAAAAAAAAUUAAUAAAUUUCAACUUUUGUGAAAUUUAUUCGAGCCUUAUGAAAUUUCAUGAGAUUUCACUUUCCAUCUCUGCCCACAAUCAAUAGGUCAGGCUGCCUGACCUAUUAAUUGUGGGCAAGUUUGAAAUUUAUCUUAAAUUUGGCAACUCUGCUUUGUUUGUAUUGAGGUUAGUCUGUGUUGUUGCUCUUGCUAGUCCAAGUUGCAAGUUGUCAGUUUAGAUUCGUGUAUCGGCGGUCUCUUUUGCCCUUCUUUUUAUUGUGUUUUUUUCCUAGAAUUUUUAAAUUUUUAGCAAGAGCUAUUUGUUGAUUAUUGCUGAUGUCUAUCAGUGAGGCUGACCAUGAAUUAUCGUUUGAAUUUUCGUACCAUUGGAAGUGCUCUCAUUUCUCAAGUAAUCCUAUUUACGUUCUGUUUAGGAGAACGAAACGGCAUCAGUAGGCUAACUCCAAACAAUUUAAACGUAUUUGCUGUAGUUUGGAUCCUCAGCUGUUAACACCACUUUCUCUUAGACCCUUCAACCGAAUGCGACCCCCUCAGUGACGAGUCCAUCAGUGAGAGCUUCCUAAAUGCAAUUUCCUCCAUCUCCAGCCAAAAACCAGGCAGUAGAUAAUUUAAAAACACAGCAUUCAGCUAUCAAAUUAAACAUCAGCAUCAUGGAUGACAGGCCGCAACUCUCUGAGCUCCCUCACAGUCUUAGGAAUUGGUGCAGAGGCAUGAAAUGCAGGUUAAUGGAUUUCACCUCCGAAGUGUGCCCUCAGUAUUUUGAAGUUGCAAUGGACUAUUUGUCUCAGCACCCUAUUAUUGCUAUUUUGCUGGUUGCAAUAGCUGUCACCUGUAUCAUUCCUGUCCUGGCUAUUUUAUUGUUUAUCGGAUCGUCAAUGUCAGUUUUUUGUCUCCUCUUUUUCGCCGCCCUAGGAACUAUAAUCAUCUUUGCAUCGGGAUGCUGGUUGCAUGGAUUGUCUUUUUUUGUACUGUUUUGA
rnacentral:lncRNA from 1 species